rnacentral:misc_RNA from 1 species
GGCGCGGGUGGGAUAGUGGUGAGCCCCCCACCUCACCGCUGAUAACCCGCGCCAUAAGGAGCCGGCUCCAGUAGAUUAACAAAAUUUACAGUUAAACACCCCUCCCCCACACAGAUUUUUUAUUUAC